GGUCAAGCUUUUCCUCCCAUCCAUGAAGAGAGCGGCCGCACCUGAGCUGGAAUCCCAGGUGACACACAGGUGGGUCUGCAGGGCACCGAUGUCAGGGACUCGGAAAAAUACAGGUUCAUCCACCAGCACAGCGUCUCCAACUCUCCACCAAGGAGAGAAGACGGCAAGUUCAAGACAAGACAAGUUCAUGAAAGAUUCAUUCGCGGUUUCUAUGACGCUUUUCUGCAUCUGUGAGACGUGCAACUUUGAGUCCUGUGAAGAGAAGACGCCCAUCAGCUGCAGGAGUCUGUUAAACUCCAUCAGGACAGAAACGCAGAGUUGACUCACAGAUGGAGGAAUAUCUGAUAGAAGAGAAUAUAAACACCACCAGCACAAUGAGCUCAUCAGCAAAGACAACUACUCGAGGCGGGUAUAUAUAUGGUUAUGGCUGCAGCCUG